ACCAUUGUUGAUCUCUCGGCAAAGAUCGCAAGCCCCAGAAACUCGAAGAGAAUGCAAGGGUGCGACUGCGAUACCGAUUUGCUGAAUCCUA